rnacentral:misc_RNA from 1 species
GUGGCAGUAAAGAGGAAAAGGGUUUUCUUGAUUGGGUUCUUGGAAAUUUGCAGAAGGAAGACCAAUUCUAUGAGACUGAUCCUAUCCUCAAGAAAGUAGAGGAGAAGACUGGUGGUGGCACCAACGCCGGCGGCAAGAACUCCGUGUCAAUCCCACAGAAGAAGAAGGGUAAUGGGGGAGGCUUCGGUGGGCUGUUCGCCAAGAAAUGAAAUAUAGAGAUAUUGUUCUGUUAGCUUUCUGUCUGUCUCCAUUUGAUGAUUCUUGAACUCUUUAAGUUGUAUGUGUUCUCUCUUUUUGCACAUUACUUCUUUAGUUAAUUUUCUUCCAUGUCUAUGAACUAUAUCAAUUUAUUUCAAAUCACUUGGUAGGCUUUUGAUUUGAUAUUAAAUAAAUUAAUUGUUCGAUAUUUGAACAUAAGUAUAUGUCAAUUGAAAAUGGAAGGGCACUGCUUGUAAAUGAGAAUAGCAGAUGUAAAAUUAUGUGCAUAAAAGUAUUGUCACAUAACCAUAUCUUCCUUCUGAAUGUGAAUGUGUACAAAACAUCAAGGCUUCAUCUAUAAAUCAAUUAAACAUCAUCGAUACUUAGCUAAUGCAAGUGAAAGGAAUUGUUUGCAAUUCUGGGAAUUUAAGAGCAAAAUUAAUAUAUUUUUUUCUCAAUUGAAUACAAGAGUGUCAAAUGCAAGGGCCUAGGGAUUAACUAACCUUACACUCAGAGCAAGGGAUAAUAGAGAAGGGCGUCAACGAAUGCAUAUUCCAAAACAUGACUCAUACAUUGUCAUCCCUAAAUCCAUUGUUAUAGCAUGGUUGUUUAUCAAAG